UACGUAGGGCGCAAGCGUUGUCCGGAAUUAUUGGGCGUAAAGAGCUCGUAGGCGGUUUGUCGCGUCUGCUGUGAAAACCUAAGGCUCAACCUUGGGCUUGCAGUGGGUACGGGCAGACUAGAGUGCGGUAGGGGUGACUGGAAUUCCUGGUGUAGCGGUGGAAUGCGCAGAUAUCAGGAGGAACACCGAUGGCGAAGGCAGGUCACUGGGCCGCAAC
rnacentral:rRNA from 1 species